rnacentral:rRNA from 1 species
GACGAACGCUGGCGGCGUGCCUAAUACAUGCAAGUCGAACGCAGUGGGGACGGGUGAGUAACACGUGGGUAACCUCCCAUCAGAGGGGAUAACACUUGGAAACAGGUGCUAAACCGAUACUGAUGGAUGAACCCGCGGUGCAUUAGCUAGUUGGUGAGGUAACCGCUCACCAAGGCCACGAUGCAUAGGCCGUCCUGUAGGGUGAGCGGGCAAACCGGGACUGAGACACGGCCCAGACUCCUAAGGGAGGCAGCAGUGGGGAAACUUCGGGCAUUGGCGAAAGCCUGAACCGGCCAAGCCGCGUGGAUGAAGAAGGCUUUCGGAUCGUAAAACUCUGGUGGUAGAGAAGCGGUAUCUAACCAGAAAGCCACGGCUAACUACGUGCCAGCCGCCGCGGUAAUUC